CCAGACUGGAACUGAGACACGGUCCAGACUCCUACGGGAGGCAGCAGUGAGGAAUAUUUCACAAUGAGCGAAAGCUUGAUGGAGCAAUGCCGCGUGCAGGAUGAAGGCCCUCGGGUUGUAAACUGCUUUUAUAAGAGAAGAUUAUGACGGUAACUUAUGAAUAAGGGACGGCUAACUACGUGCCAGCAGCCGCGGUCAUACGUAGGUCCCGAGCGUUAUCCGGAGUGACUGGGCGUAAAGAGUUGCGUAGGCGGUCAAGUUAGCGAGCGAUGAAAACUAUCGGCUCAACCGAUAGCUUGUUGUUCGAACUGCUUGACUCGAGAGUAUCAGAGGUCGCUGGAAUUCCUAGUGUAGCAGUGAAAUGCGUAGAUAUUAGGAAGAACACCGAUGGCGUAGGCAGGCGACUGGGAUAUUUCUGACGCUAAGGCACGAAAGCGUGGGUAGCGAACCGGAUUAGAUACCCGGGUAGUCCACGCCGUAAACGAUGGAUGCUAAUUGUUUGAGGUAUCGACCCCUCGAGUAAUAAAGCUAACGCGUUAAGCAUCCCGCCUGUGGAGUACGGCCGCAAGGCUAAAACAUAAAGGAAUUGACGGGGACCCGCACAAGCGGUGGAUCGUGUUCUUUAAUUCGAUGCUAAACGAAGAACCUUACCAGGGCUUGACAUCCAGGGAAUUUUUGGGAAACCAAUUAGUGCCUUUUGGAACCCUGUGACAGGUGAUGCAUGGCCGUCGUCAGCUCGUGUCGUGAGAUGUUUGGUUAAGUCCAUCAACGAGCGCAACCCUUGUCGUCAGUUGUAUUUUUCUGGCGAGACUGCCCCGGUAACGGGGAGGAAGGAGGGGAUGAUGUCAGGUCAGUAUUGGUCUUACGCCCUGGGCUAGAAACGUCCUACAAUGGUCGGUACAAUGGGCAGCCAACCCGUGAGGGGGAGCAAAUCCCAUCAAAGCCGGUCUCAGUUCGGAUUGCAGGCUGAAACUCGCCUGCAUGAAGUCGGAAUCGCUAGUAAUCGCAGAUCAGCACGUUGCGGUGAAUACGUUCCCGGGUCUUGUACACACCGCCCGUCAAACCAUGAAAGUGACCAACACCCGAAGUCCGAUUCGUCGGCCUAAGGUGGGGGGCAUGAUUGGGGUUAAGUCGUAACAAGGUAUCCGUACCGGAAGGUGCGGAUG
rnacentral:rRNA from 1 species